rnacentral:rRNA from 1 species
GAUGAACGCUGGCGGCAUGCCUUACACAUGCAAGUCGAACGGCAGCACGGGUGCUUGCACCUGGUGGCGAGUGGCGAACGGGUGAGUAAUACAUCGGAACGUACCUUAUCGUGGGGGAUAACGCAGCGAAAGUUGCGCUAAUACCGCAUACGCCCUGAGGGGGAAAGCGGGGGACCGUAAGGCCUCGCGCGAUUAGAGCGGCGGAUGUCUGAUUAGCUUGGUGGUGAGGUAAAAGCUCACCAAGGCGAGGAUCAGUAGCUGGUCUGAGAGGCCGAUCAGCCACACUGGGACUGGUACACGGCCCAGACUCCUACGGGGGGCAGCAGUGGGGAAUUUUGGACAAUGGGGGAAACCCUGAUCCAGCAAUGCCGCGUGAGUGAAGAAGGCCUUCGGGUUAUAAAGCUCGUUUGUCAGGGAAGAAACAGCAGCUCUAACACAGUCUGCGAAUGACGGUACCUGAAGAAUAAGCACCGGCUAACUACGUGCCAGCCGCCGCGGUAA